AUCAUUAUAAUAGUUGAAUAAUGUAAUCGUAUAUAAUAAAGUUGAAAGUUAAAUAUAAUAAAUAAACUUAACGCAGGUAUAAACACCUGGAGAGCGCGAGCCUGAACUCCACGUCAUCAGCGCGAGCUACAAACAGAGCCAGUCUGAGUGCCCAGUCCUGCCGGGGUCCGAGCGCUCCGUCAUGGGUCAGUGUGGUACAUGUCCAGCACCUCCAGAGCUCAGGGAGAAGAUCAGGAAGCCCUCAGAGCUCCGGGUCCACAGCGCUGAGAGAGAGGAGCAGCUCAGGAGAUACACGAACACGUCACGCUAGAGCUGCGCCACCUGCUGGGGGCCAUCCAGGUUUAAUACUGCAGAUCAGAUCAGAAGAAGAUACGAGCAGCUCAGAGACCAACCAGGUUCUACAUCAAAUACUAAACGGCUGAGCGAUAUAUCACUCACUGAGCAGUAUCACGAUACCGGCCUGAGCGAUACUAACAUCACACCGGGCCGCAACACCUAAAUGUAACGUCCGAAACACCGUUAGGAGGAAUCACAGCAGCUUUGUGUCUGGAAGGAACAUCGAUCCGUGAAUUUGGUCCCAAAUAAACAUCACGCUCGACCACGACGGACGUCCCAUCAGAACAUCCCCCGACUGACCGCGUUUUUACCUUCUGUAUCGGUAACACGAUGCUUCACCUUCACUAAACAUCAAGUGCUUUCAGAAAACGUUCGGUCACGCCCGCCGCCACGCCCGCCCGUCUCACCCCAAACGAGGUCAGUCGAGUGACCGUUAUGAGCGCGAGUUCAGAUUUCCCGAGAGAUCCGGCUACGUUUAGGGGUGAGAGAGAAACACGGCGACCGGAA